rnacentral:rRNA from 1 species
AUUGAACGCUGGCGGCAUGCUUUACACAUGCAAGUCGAACGGCAGCACGGGGGCAGCCCUGGUGGCGAGUGGCGAACGGGUGAGUAAUACAUCGGAACGUGCCCGGUCGUGGGGGAUAACGUACCGAAAGUUACGCUAAUACCGCAUACGAUCUGAGGGUGAAAGCGGGGGACCUUCGGGCCUCGCGCGAUCGGAGCGGCCGAUGUCAGAUUAGGUAGUUGGUGGGGUAAAGGCCUACCAAGCCGACGAUCUGUAGCUGGUCUGAGAGGACGACCAGCCACACUGGGACUGAGACACGGCCCAGACUCCUACGGGAAGCAGCAGUGGGGAAUUUUGGACAAUGGGCGCAAGCCUGAUCCAGCCAUGCCGCGUGCAGGACGAAGGCCUUCGGGUUGUAAACUGCUUUUAUACGGGACGAAAAGGAUUUAGCUAAUACCUGGGGCUCAUGACGGUACCGUAAGAAUAAGCACCGGCUAACUACGUG